UCCAACCCUCUAGACAUAGUCUCAGGUAACCCGCUAUCCGGUAGACCUUAGCUACAAAAGGAGAAAAUAUUGAGCGAUUUGCAAACAUCGCGUCAUCAGCUCAAUUAGAUCUUGACAUAUGGAUACUGACAUGGAAAUUAAAAAAAAAAAAAAAUUCUCUUUGACUCUUCAUCUUCAACCGUCGCUCUGCCUGGGCUUGGCUAUCUCCACCGCCCAAGCCGCCGCCGCCGCCGCCGCCACCAUCCUUGAGCCGCUGCCCCACUGUGGCCACCAUGGACCGCAGAAAAGUUAAUGAGUUCGUCGUCGGCAGCCAUGGACGAGCCAAGUUUCAAGCUCAAAGCCGUUGAGCAGCAGACCAGAUCUGGCUGUUGAGCGACGGUCGAUCGUUGCGUCCAGGCCGAUCUCCCCGUCCACCCCCUCUCCGUCGUCCCGGCGGCUAAGCCUUGGCCGCAAUCGCUCGUCCACAAAUAUGGAGAUGCAGUGCAGCGGUCGGCCAUGGACGGCCUCUCGUCCACAGAUCUGAGCGCCGACCUCCUCAUCCAUCUCUCAGUCUCGCGGUCAAGACUCCAAAUCUAGCCGAACUUCCAGAUCCGGAGCCAUGGUCGGGAGCGAUGAUGAUUCCAAAUCUGGACUUCACCGACUUUUGCGUCUCCCCUAUGUCGUCGUGUGUGAAUGAGCCAUUAUCGCUCGUGACCAAGACUCCAGAUCUGGCGCAAAUGGAGCUGGUUCUACACAAUCGUUUUCUAUUUUGGUCGUCUCGUGACAAGCAAACCUUCACACUUUCAGUUCGAGUGGUGGAAGGAGAGACCAGCUUCAGCCAUGAAUUCUCUUCCGGCCAAAUCCAAUCCCCUGCUGCUAGAUUUGGAAGUGAGGCACCGGGCGGAGGAGAUGACCAUGAGAGAUAAGACGCCCGUGACUCUGGCUGUGGCCAGGGCGGAAGGAGGCGCGGAGGUGGGGCUCGUGGUGGCCGCAGAUGGAAGAGGAGGAAGAGAGAAGUCCAAUUGGAUUUGGAGAUUUUUUUAUUUAUUUAUUAAUUUCUCCAUUUUCGUGUCACCGAUUAUGUGUCAAAUUAUAAUUGAUUGACAAUAAAUAAGUACACGUCAUGUCAGCCGUUGACGUGUGAUUGCAAAUCACCGAAUAUUUUCAGAAUAUUUUGUCCUGGGAAAGGGUACACCAAGCCGAAGCAACGCACAACUGACGAUGGCGGAGCAAAGGAGGAAAAAAACCAACGGUGGCAGAGCAACCGCCAUGGGAAGACCUGCCCCCAUUGUGCUGGGGGGCCGUCCUCCGCCGCUUGGUCUCCGCCGCAGACUUCGAGUCCGUCUCCUCCGUCUGCAAGCAAUUCCUGCACAUCUCCAACACCGUCCGCACCUCCCUCUCCAUCACCAACCGACUGACUCCGCGCCUCGGCUCCAUCCUCCGGUGCUUCACGUCCCUCAAGUCCAUCGACCUCAGCUCGUUCGGCGGCAAUCCGUCCUCCGUCCUCCUCCAGAUCGCCCAGUUCCCGUUGCCCCCUCGACCGCCUCGAGCUCUCCAACCAGGAGUCCCUCCGCUUCGGGGGGUUGCGCGAGAUGGGGUCCAAGUUCGUGGCUUUGAGGGUCUUGGUGCUGUACAUCGUUGGGUUGCGGGGGGAUGCCGCCUUGGCUUCGAUCGCGGAGUGCUUCCCCGUGAUGGAAGAGCUCGACAUUAGCUAUCGGAGGCGGGACCGUUCGGCUCGGGUCACGGAUGACGGUAUCUCUGCCCUGUCGCGGACGCUGCAGAGGCUGUCGCGAAUCGACGUUUCGGGUAAUCGGUUUCUCUCUGAUAAAUCUCUUGUGGUUCUGUCGUUGAAUUGCCCGUCUCUGAGGGAAGUUAAGUUUCGGGAAUGUGGGUUAAUUACUGGGAGAGGUAUUGCUUCGCUGAUAGUGAACAGGCCUCACCUGGUCUCCUUGGCCCUGAAUGAUAUGAAGAGAAGGCGAUUUUCUGUGAGGAGUUGGUGGAUUCUUUUCGUCAUGCGGGGGGUUUCAGUAGUCUGGUUUUGAGGGGCUCAUUUAUCUGGGAUGGGUUGUUAAUGUCUUGUAGCGGAGGCAAAUAUUCUGCUGAAGAGGCUCGUUCUUUCAUGCACCUUGGGGUUUUUUUUUUUUUUUUUCGAUCACCUCGGGGGUUUCGAUCGACGGGAUUUGGAAGACCGUGCUAAAGCACCGGGGCAUCGAGGACUUAGAUUUGCAGGCACUACAUUUCCUCACGGAUCGCGACAUGAGCGUCAGUCUAACCCCCAUUGACGUCAGUCGUUGCUCCAAUCUCACGAUGACGACAUUGUAUAACUUCAUGAGACAAUGUCCCUUCUUGAAGGCAAUCGAAAUGGAGAAGACAAACCUAAGGAAAGAUGAUGCCAGUGAAACCGAUGUCAUGGUGAAUUCUCGAGCGAGGUCUCUUAGCAUACCUACUAAUGUGAAUUUGACCGACGAAUGCCUCAAGAAGAUCGGGCGUAUGUGCCCCAAAUAGCGGUAUCUUGAUGUGGGCGAUUGUUUGAAGAUAACUGGGGAUGGCAUUUCAAGUGUGCUGAAGAGCUGCCCUCAAGUCACGUAUUUGAAGAUCUGUGGUUUAAGAAACAUAAGGAAUCUAUGCAUCGACUUUGAACUCCCACAGUUAGAGGUCUUGCAAGCAGAAGACUUGAAACUCAGUGAGGAGCAACUAGCGGCAUUUAUAAGUAGAUGUUGCCAUCUCAAGUAUCUCGACUUAGUGCACCGUGUGCAUCUGUCGACCGAAGGGGUAGAAAAGGUGGUGAAGAAUUGCAGUACAUUGAGGGAGAUAAAUCUAAGGAACUGCCAUAAUGUAGGUGACGAUGUCCCAUUUCUAGAUUGGAUGGUGUCUGUGAGGCCAUCGUUAAGGAGAAUAGUCCCACCUUGCAGAUUAAUUUCAUCCAAAAUUCGAGACUUCUUCUUGCAGCUUGGGUUGUCUCGUCAGUGAUGAUUGACUUUAAAGGAUCGAUGAGGUUUUUUUGCCUCACUUGCUUCCUUCUAUACAUGUAAUUGAUAUGUGCUUGGUGCCGGUGAUAGAUUGAAUCCAGAAACCUUCGACUUCAUUCUUGGAUGGCACAUCAUCAUAAAAAUGGAUUUGGAAAGUGAGGAUUAUGAUGUUUGUUUUAGUGUACAGUGGCACCAGACGACACCACUAGAUGGGCAUUUCUACAAGGCAUGAAGUUUGGAAAUCCACAAGUCCAGCUCGAUAUGUGUUCAGAUAGUUGACCUAGGACGCAUAUACUCAUUCAAAAUCAAGGCAAAUGGAAUCGGCAACUCUAUGGAAGAAAUUCACUGUCGGCGGGAUUUGGUAGGCACAAUCUUCACCAAGUUUGGAAUGCUAUGUCUUUCUUAUAUAUAAACAUGGUUUCACAAUUAUUUUGAAUGUAACUUUGAUGCUUCAAAUGUGAGCACCUUUUGUGCGUCAUUGUGCAGAGAGCAAAUUUUAGUGUGAUAGUGUUGGGGAUAUCGCUUUGCUUGAAUAGUAAAAGUGAUGAAUCUGCUUGAUUUAAUAAACGUGAACAAUUUGAUAAUAUAUAUGCAUGCAUGAAUAGUGCAAUUAUGUUUUCAAA